UGACUACAGUGAAAUUUAAUUCCUGCAGUCUUACCUGAUAAAACCGGUCUUUGGCCUGUGGCUGAGCCGCCAUCUGUACGCAGUGAAAUCUUUCCAGCCGAUGUGGCGAGGGUCAUGCCACAGGGUGCGCACCUGAAGGAAAAGUAGCAGGAAAGGUUGAAACACAGCCCCCUUCUAGAUGACGAGGCUUCUUACCUGGCCAGGGGUGUUUCCUGUGUGCCACAGUGCAUUCCGCAGGUGCUCGCCAGGGCCGGUGGUGGAGUUCACAACCUUUACAGACAGGC
rnacentral:lncRNA from 1 species